UAUGGCCACAUCAUGUUGAAACACCGGUUGUCGUACGAUCACCGGAGUUAAGCAACGUCGAGCCUGGACAAUACCUAGAUGGGUGACCUUUGCGAAUACCAGGUGCUAU